GUUGGCACGGGCAAACUGAAUUGGGUCAACGAGGCCCUGCUGACCAGCCUGGCUGUUUGGAUCUGAGAUACCGACCAGGGAUUGAGAAGCUUAAUGUUAGCUAUUGCCUUGUCAGAACACAGAUGGUGAGAAAACACUUCAACCAUGCGGGCUGUGGAAUCUGCCAGGAGCUUUGCAGCAGCCAGAAGCUUCUUGGAGUUCUCCAUGUCGAUCUCUGCUUCUG